GUAGGUGGCAAGCGUUGUCCGGAAUUAUUGGGCGUAAAGCGCGCGCAGGCGGUCCUUUAAGUCUGAUGUGAAAGCCCACGGCUCAACCGUGAAGGGUCAUUGGAAACUGGGGGACUUGAGUACAGAAGAGGAAAGCGGAAUUCCAAGUGUAGCGGUGAAAUGCGUAGAGAUUUGGAGGAACACCAGUGGCGAAGGCGGCUUUCUGGUCUGUAACUGACGCUGAGGCGCGAAAGCGUGGGGAGCAAACAGGAUUAGAUACCCUGGUAGUCCACGCCGUAAACGAUGAGUGCUAAGUGUUAGGGGGUUUCCCGCCCCCUUAGUGCUGCAGCUAACGCAUUGAGCACUCCGCCUGGGGAGUACGGCCGCAAGGCUG
rnacentral:rRNA from 1 species